ACAUGACCGACGCGGAUCAAAGUGAAGUAUCUGUUCUCAUCAGCUUGAUAUGUGAUACGGGUUGUAUUUGGACCCAAGGCAUUAAAAGCUAUUUUUGUAAUUUCGCGGAGUGCUUGAGGCCUCCCUCAGCUCCGCCGCGGGCCGGACCGGCAUCGCACUAUCUUCGGUAUCGGCCCAAGUUUU